GGGCGGCCCUAUCGAAGCCGCGUCUGCCUCGGUGCUGUGGCAGGCGCGGUCAAAAAGGAGCCGAGAGCGAAGGGCUUUCCUCGACGGUCGCCGCUCCGUUGAACCCGUGUAACCGAGCGGCAACAUGGCAGGAAAGCACAGGG
ensembl:snoRNA